UGGGGAAUUUUGGACAAUGGGCGAAAGCCUGACCCAGCAAUGCCGCGUGUGUGAAGAAGGCCUUCGGGUUGUAAAGCACUUUUGUCCGGAAAGAAAUCCUUGGCUCUAAUACAGUCGGGGGAUGACGGUACCCGGAAGAAUAAGCACCGGCUAACUACGUGCCAGCAGCCGCGGUAAUACGUAGGGUGCAAGCGUUAAUCGGAAUUACUGGGCGUAAAGCGUGCGCAGGCGGUUUGCUAAGACCGAAUGUGAAAUCCCCGGGCUCAACCUGGGAACUGCAUUGGUGACUGGCAGGCUAGAGUAUGGCAGAGGGGGUAGAAUUCCACGUGUAGCAGUGAAAUGCGUAGAGAUGUGGAGGAAUACCGAUGGCGAAGGCAGCCCCCUGGGCCAAAUACUGACGCUCAUGCACGAAAGCGUGGGGAGCAAACAGGAUUAGAUACCCUGGUAGUCCACGCCCUAAACGAUGUCAACUAGUUGUU
rnacentral:rRNA from 1 species